UACGGAGGGUGCAAGCGUUGUCCGGAAUCAUUGGGUUUAAAGGGUCCGCAGGCGGAAAAAUAAGUCAGUGGUGAAAUCUCACAGCUCAACUGUGAAACUGCCAUUGAUACUGUUUUUCUUGAAUUCGAUCGAAGUGGGCGGAAUGUGACAUGUAGCGGUGAAAUGCUUAGAUAUGUCACAGAACACCGAUAGCGAAGGCAGCUCACUAGGUCUGGAUUGACGCUCAGGGACGAAAGCGUGGGGAGCAAACAGG
rnacentral:rRNA from 1 species